CCAGAAGUGCAUUAUUGACCCCCUACUACUACUUGGAAGAUAUUGGAUUCUUCCUCUUUCAUUUUGAACAACAAUCUCCAGCCUCUGGAAUGCUCUCUAUCUCUUGUUUCUUUACCAACUCCCUCUCUGAAAAAUACACUAUUGCCAUUCUUGCUCUUUGGCCUUACAAAGAACUAAGAGAUAGAACAAGGAAGCCCUGAGGCCCACUGUGCCCUCGGGUCAUCCUUCCUGAAAUGUAUUAGAAGAAUCUAUGGUUUGUGUGGUUUACAAGACCCUGAAAUUCACAGUAUCCCAUCUAUGAAAGGUGACGAAAGCUGCCUUAUGACCACAUACUACACAAGUGUCGAGCGACAGAACUGAUCCACUGCCCUUUCUGCAGGCAUCCCUGCUGUGUGAGAGCCUUGUGGCUUCAUAACCCUCUUCUGGAGAUGCUGUAAAGAAAAGCCACAGACAGUGUGUUUACCCAAGUUCUGUUUCCACACGCCCAGUCACUAGUCUACUGGAGGCUGUGAAGAUGAGGGCUGAACUCUGUGAUUCUGUAGUAUUUUAACAUUUUUAUCUCUAGUUUGAGACCUAACAUUCAAAAUCCCCAAAUAUAUUACAUUUAGCAUUCUAUUCUUCUACUGAACUUAAGGGUAUUUUUGUUUGAUCUUAUAUCCAGCAUAUAAGAUAAAAACACAAUGCCAAAAGAAUCUUUUCCCUUACAGAUGAGAAAAAAAAUUUUAAGCAAAUUGACAGAAGAAACUAAAGUAGCUCUCACAAAACUCCACAACUCCCUGAAUGAAAAAAGCAUAGAAGACUUCCUUUCUUGUCUGGAUUCUGCAACAGAAGCUUGUGACAUUAUGGUGAAAAAGGGAGACAAAAAA
rnacentral:lncRNA from 1 species